AACGAACGCUGGCGGCAUGCCUAACACAUGCAAGUCGAACGAUGGUCUUCGGAUCAUAGUGGCGCACGGGUGCGUAACGCGUGGGAAUCUGCCCUUGGGUUCGGAAUAACAGUUGGAAACGACUGCUAAUACCGGAUGAUGUCGAUAAGACCAAAGAUUUAUCGCCCGAGGAUGAGCCCGCGUCGGAUUAGCUAGUUGGUGGGGUAAGGGCCUACCAAGGCGACGAUCCGUAGCUGGUCUGAGAGGAUGAUCAGCCACACUGGGACUGAGACACGGCCCAGACUCCUACGGGAGGCAGCAGUGGGGAAUAUUGGACAAUGGGCGCAAGCCUGAUCCAGCAAUGCCGCGUGAGUGAUGAAGGCCUUAGGGUUGUAAAGCUCUUUUACCCGGGAAGAUAAUGACUGUACCGGGAGAAUAAGCCCCGGCUAACUCCGUG
rnacentral:rRNA from 1 species